UUGAAGGAUUAAAGCUAGAACUUGGGCAUAGGCAGCUUGAGGUUUGCAGCUUGAAAGAUUAACAUUGUGUUUGGUAGAGGGGAUUUAGUGAGGGAGGGAGAUCUAAGUAGGAAGAGAAGAGAAUAGAGACUACUAAUCCAUUUGUUUGGUAGCAUAUGUGAGAGGACGAGAAUAGACUUGGAGGGCUGGGAAAUCCCUCUUGGUCCACCAUAUGUCAUCCUUCCUUCAUUGAAUGAGAGGACGGAGAAUAGACUUGGAGGGAUGAUUCAUCUUGGCCCACCAUAUCUCAUCCUUCCUUCAUUGAAGGGAUUGGAGGAGAGAGACAAAAAAAAAAAUAAAUAAAGCAGGAAAGUGGAUAAAAUACCCUCCCAAAUGCUAUUCUCUCUCAUCUAUGUAUAUAUAUACUAUUACUUUUACCCGUACAAAAAAACUAGAAAGCAUAAAAACAUCUAAGAAAAUGGAGAUAAUAAAGAAGUAAAAAAAGUGUGAAAUCCAACUUUACUCUUUCUUCCUCUAUCAUCAUUAUAGUCGAAGCUCUUCAAUAUUUCUCAAAGAUAAAUAGAUGGACGAAGACGAAAACUUGGAAUUAGUAUGGUAUGAAAUAAAUCAAGAUGAGAAUUUAGACUUAGCUUCAGACAAGAUGCAAAUUGAUGAUGAGGAGAAUCCAAUUGUGAUUUGGAAUAACAAACGGGAAGAGGAAAAUAAAGAGAAUAAAGAGACACAUGAUCAAAGUUUUCGUAGGUUUUUGAGUAAUUGGGAAAGACAAAGGCAGAUGGCAGUGGUGCAACUUGUUUGUUUAUUGGUACAGUUUAUUUAUAUUGUGGAGUUAUAUCAUUGGUCAAAUUAUAUUGACAAAAGCCAAACGAAUAAUGGUUGUGACAAUCAUAUAAUUCCUGAUGAGCUUAUGCAAAAUAUUAGUACCAAUGAGAAA